GUCCUGGUAGCUCAGCUGGAUAGAGCAAUGGCCUUCUAAGCCAUCGGUCGGGGGUUCGAGUCCCUCCCAGGACG
rnacentral:tRNA from 1 species